rnacentral:rRNA from 1 species
GGUUGACCUCGGAUCAGGUAGGGAUACCCCGCUG